rfam:TPA: Bos taurus chromosome 20, whole genome shotgun sequence.
UCCCUGGUGGCUCAGAUGGUAAAAUCGUCUGCUUGCAAUGCUGAAGACCCAGGUUCAAUCCCUGGGUUGGGAA